rnacentral:lncRNA from 1 species
AUGGGGGAAGGGGAGAGCUAUAGAGGCAGGGUAGUCGGCCAAACAUGGCUCAAGUCGGGAUGCCUCCAGUGGGUGCAUGCAGCCAGGAAAGUGUACAUGGGACAUGGCUAUGGAGGAUCCUCUUGUAUCCCUCCUGGGAAACCUGCAUGCUCGAUCUCCUCUCUGAAAUGCCUGUACACCAAUGCACGCAGCAUGGGGAACAAACAGGAAGAACUAGAGAUCUGUGUGCGGUCGCAGGGCCAUGAUCUCGUUGCAGUUACAGAGACAUGGUGGGAUAGCUCACAUGACUGGAGUGCUGUCAUGGAUGCCUACGUGCUUUUUAGGAAAGACAGGCCAGGAAAGCGAGGUGGUGGAAUUGCUCUUUAUGUGAGAGAGCAACUGGAAUGUAUCAAGCUCUGCCUAGGGGUGGAUGAAGAGCGAGUCGAGAGCUUAUGGGUAAGGAUUAAAGGGCAGGCUAGCAUGGGUGACACUGUCGUGGGUGUUUACUACAGGCCAGCUGAUCAGGAAGAGGAAGUCAAUGAGGCCUUCUACAGACAGCUGGAAGCAGCCUCACGAUCCCAGGUCCUCACGACCUGCAUGGAUGAGCAAGGCACUCCUGGUCAAACUCAGAAGGAGGAAGUAUACAGAAAGUGGAAAGGGGGAGAGGCCACUUGGGAGGAAUAUAGGAACGUUGUCAGAGUACGCAGGGAUGCGACGAGGAAGGCUAAGGCCCAUUUGGAAUUAAAUCUGGCAAGAGAUGUCAAGGACAACAAGAAGGGCUUCUUCAAAUACAUCAGUAGCAAARGGAARACUAGGGAAAAUGUGGGCCCAYUGCYGAAUGGGGUGGGUGCCCYGGUGACGAAGGAUGCAGAGAAGGCAGAGUUACUGAAUGCCGCCUUUGCUUCAGUCUUUACUGCUCAGGCCAGCCCUCAGGAACCCCAGACCCUGGAGACAAGAGAGAAAGUCUGGAGAAAGGAAGACUUUCCCUUGGUGGAGGAGGAUCGGAUUAGAGAUCAUUUAGGCAAACUUGACACCCACAAAUCCAUAGGCCCUGAUGGGAUGCACCCACAAAUGCUGAGGGAGGAGGUGGAUGUUAUUGCUAGGCCACUCUCCAUCAUCUUGGAAAGGUCAUGGAGAACAGGAGAGGUGCCUGAAGACUGGAAGAAAGCUAAUGUCACCGCAGUCUUCAAAAAGGGCAAGAAGGAGGACCCAGGGAACUACAGGCCAGUCAGCCUCACCUCCAUCCCUGGAAAGGUGAUGGAGCAGCUCAUCCUAGAGGCCGUCUCCAAGCAUGUGGAGCACAAGAAGGUGAUCAGGAGUAGUCAGCAUGGCUUCACCAAGGGGAAAUCAUGCUUAACCAACCUGAUAGCCUUCAGUGAUGGAAUGCCUGCCUGUGUAGAUGAGGGGAGAGCAGUGGAUGUUGCCUGCCUUGACUUCAGCAAGGCUUUUGACACUGUCUCCCAUAACAUCCUCAUAGGCAAGCUGAGGAAGUGUGGGUUAGACGAGUGGACAGUGAGGUGGAUUGAGAACUGGCUGAAUGGCAGAGCUCAGAGGGUUGUGAUCAGCGGCACAGAGUCUAGUUGGCGGUCUGGAGCUAGCGGUGUCCCUCAGGGGUCAGUACUGGGUUCAACUUCUUCAUCAAUGACCUGGAUGAAGGCCCAGAGUGCACCCUCAGCAAGUUUGCUGAUGAUACAGAACUGGGAGGAGCGGCUGAUACCCCAGAGAGCUGUGCUGCCAUUCAGAGAGACCUGGACAGGCUGGAGAGGUGAGCGGAGAGGAACCUCAUGA